rnacentral:rRNA from 1 species
UACGUAGGGUGCAAGCGUUAAUCGGAAUUACUGGGCGUAAAGCGUGCGCAGGCGGCUUUGUAAGUCUGACGUGAAAUCCCCGGGCUUAACCUGGGAAUUGCGUUGGAGACUGCAAGGCUAGAAUCUGGCAGAGGGGGGUAGAAUUCCACGUGUAGCAGUGAAAUGCGUAGAGAUGUGGAGGAACACCGAUGGCGAAGGCAGCCCCCUGGGUCAAGAUUGACGCUCAUGCACGAAAGCGUGGGGAGCAAACAGG